rnacentral:rRNA from 1 species
CAAGUCGAGGGGUAACGAUGGUGCUUGCACCAGUCGACGACAGGCGCACGGGUGAGUAACGCGUAUACAAUCUACCUUUAACAGGAGGACAGGCCGAAGAAAUUCGGAUUAAUACCCCAUAACACUAUGAUAUCACCUGGUAUUAAAAUUAAAGCUCCGGCGGUUUGAGAUGGGCAUGCGUGACAUUAGCUAGUUGGUAAGGUAAAGGCUUACCAAGGCAACGAUGUCUAGGGGUUCUGAGAGGAUGAUCCCCCACACUGGUACUGAGACACGGACCAGACUCCUACGGGAGGCAGCAGUGAGGAAUAUUGGUCAAUGGGCGCAAGCCUGAACCAGCCAUCCCGCGUGUAGGAAGACUGCCCUAUGGGUUGUAAACUACUUUUAUAAAGGAAGAAACCCUUCUACGUGUAGAAGGCUGACUGUACUUUAAGAAUAAGCACCGGCUAACUCCGUGCCAGCAGCCGCGGUAAUACGGAGGGUGCAAGCGUUAUCCGGAUUUAUUGGGUUUAAAGGGUGCGUAGGCGGAUUAAUAAGUCAGUGGUGAAAUCCUGCAGCUUAACUGUAGAACUGCCAUUGAUACUGUUGAUCUUGAGUAUAGUUGAGGUAGGCGGAAUGUGUAAUGUAGCGGUGAAAUGCUUAGAUAUUACACAGAACACCGAUUGCGUAGGCAGCUUACUAAGCUAUAACUGACGCUGAUGCACGAAAGCGUGGGGAGCGAACAGGAUUAGAUACCCUGGUAGUCCACGCCGUAAACGAUGAUCACUCGUUGUUGGCGAUACACAGUCAGCGACUGAGCGAAAGCAUUAAGUGAUCCACCUGGGGAGUACGAUCGCAAGAUUGAAACUCAAAGGAAUUGACGGGGGCCCGCACAAGCGGAGGAACAUGUGGUUUAAUUCGAUGAUACGCGAGGAACCUUACCUGGGCUUAAAUGUAGAGUGCAUUUUUUGGAAACAAAAUUUCCUUCGGGACUCCUUUACAAGGUGCUGCAUGGUUGUCGGCAGCUCGUGCCGUGAGGUGUCGGGUUAAGUCCCAUAACGAGCGCAACCCCUACUGUUAGUUGCCAUCGGGUCAUGCCGGGGACUCUAACGGGACUGCCGGUGUAAACCGCGAGGAAGGUGGGGAUGACGUCAAAUCAGCACGGCCCUUAUGUCCAGGGCUACACACGUGUUACAAUGGCCGAUACAAUGAGCAGCUACCAGGCAACUGGAUGCUAAUCUCCAAAGUCGGUCUCAGUUCGGAUCGGAGUCUGCAACUCGACUUCGGGAAGGGGGAGGCGCUAGGAAGCGGAUAUCAGCCAGGAUCCGGUGAAUACGGGCCCGGGCCUUGUAGACACCGCCGUCAAGCCAUGGAAGUCUGGGGUGCCUGAAG